rnacentral:lncRNA from 1 species
GUGUGAGUGAGUGUGGACAUGACCUGCUUCUGUGUGUCUCCUCACCCCUGCUGUGGCCUGCAUCCCUCUCUGGCACCGCUACCCCUCUGGUUGGACAUCCCUGAGGCCAAUGCCUGCACCUCCAGGAGAGUCAGAGGCCAGAACACAGCCAGGGGCGGCUAGAAAGAGAUGACAGAUGAAAGAGACAGAGCCUGGCACAGAGGCAUGAAGAGGUUUGUCAUAUUAUCCUUGUGGAAACAAUGAAGAAAUGUGGGCUGCGUGAUGGACCUACUUGGAGGAUUCCUAACUGGUGACUCACUGUACCCAAUGAGGCUGGAACGAUGACCCUAUAUGAACGAAUGACAUUUGGAGGAAGGCGGAUGCGGAGUCCUGCAGGCAAGUUGAAAAGAUUAGAAGCACAAAUAUGGGGCUGAAAGCCCUGGUUUAAGAAUGAAACCCUUGAAAAAGACCAAGUUUAUUUGACAGCUAAUUCAUUGUGAAUCAAUUGUGUGGCACAGCCAGAAGUCUGAUGACUCCCAGGCUCCCGAGCUGCCUUAGUAGACGCAGAAAGCUUGGAAUACGGAAGGUCAACGGUCCCACUAGGUUCCGUAUUUUGCUGCGUUCAGGGCUGAGAACCCUUCUUAAGAGUAAUGUCCAG